rnacentral:miRNA from 1 species
UGUGUGUGUGUGUUUGUGUGUGUGUGUGUGCAACAAAUAAGCAUCCUGCAAAAUAUCUAAGAAUGAUGCACAAAAAUCAGUGUGCGUGCACACACACACACACACACACACA